GUAGUGCCGUUUAUGGGGGAAUCUAUAACUGAUGGAACUUUAGCAACCUUUUUAAAAAAACCCGGUGACAGAGUUGAAGUUGAUGAACCAAUUGCUCAGAUCGAAACUGACAAGGUGACUAUUGAUGUUACCAGUCCUGAAGCCGGGGUUAUCCAGAAGUUCGUAGCUGAGGAAGGCGAUACUGUGAGUCCAGGAACUAAGGUGGCUGUCAUCUCGAAAUCUGCUGCCAGCGAUACCCAUGUUGCUCCAUCUGAAGAGAAAACACCUAAAGAAGCUCCUAAGCCGGCUCCUGCCUCGAAGCCAGCUCCUGCAGAAGAGCCGGUUAAGCAAAAACCUAAAGUGGAAGCUGAGAAACCUAAACCAUCUACUGCACCUCCUCCUAAAGUUUCUCCAUCUGAGCCUCAGCUUCCUCCCAAGGAGAGGGAAAGACGAGUUCGUAUGCCGAGACUCAGGCAACGCAUUGCCAAUCGCUUGAAGGAUUCCCAGAACACAUUUGCACUCCUAACUACGUUUAACGAAGUGGACAUGACAAAUUUGAUGAAACUUCGUUCUGAUUACAAAGAUGCGUUCACGGAAAAGCAUGGUGUGAAGUUGGGACUUAUGUCUGGUUUUGUCAAAGCUGCUGUUAGUGCACUGCAGAACCAGCCUGUCAUCAACGCAGUCAUUGAUGGCGAGGACAUCAUUUAUAGGGAUUACAUUGAUAUCAGUAUCGCUGUUGGUACACCUAAGGGCCUUGUGGUGCCAGUUGUUCGAAAUGCUGAACACAUGAACUUCGCUGAAAUAGAGAGUACAAUCAACACUCUUGCGAAGAAGGCAGCUAGCGGGACGAUCUCGAUAGACGAAAUGGCCGGUGGGACAUUUACAAUUUCCAAUGGUGGUGUCUAUGGCAGCCUUUUGAGCACUCCUAUCAUCAAUCCCCCACAAUCGGCCAUCCUUGGCAUGCAUUCGAUUGUCCAAAGACCGAUGGUGGUUGAUGGGAGUAUUACUGUGAGGCCGAUGAUGUACCUUGCACUGACUUAUGAUCACAGACUGAUUGAUGGUAGAGAGGCGGUCCUGUUUCUCCGUCGUAUCAAGGAUGUGGUUGAAGACCCACGCAGGCUUCUCCUCGAUUUGUAGGCAUGUGGCGAGUUAAUCGCCAUUGCUUUCCCUACUUUCUUUGCAGCGAAUAAUGUCAGUGAAAAACAGAAAUUUUGGUUUGCGUUUAUUGAACGAUUAGCCUCUUGUUGUUGUGGGGUUUGUGAUUAUUCGGUCGGCUCUGGCACUGGGAUAUUAUGACAGUAUGUUUUACUGUACUUAGAGAUGGAAGGUUAACUAUUUUGAGUUUGUGUAAUAUAAGCAGCGGAUUUUGCCCG
rnacentral:misc_RNA from 1 species